rnacentral:rRNA from 1 species
AUACGUAGGGGGCUAGCGUUAUCCGGAUUUACUGGGCGUAAAGGGUGCGUAGGUGGUUUCUUAAGUCAGGAGUGAAAGGCUACGGCUUAACCGUAGUAAGCUCUUGAAACUGGGAAACUUGAGUGCAGGAGAGGAAAGUGGAAUUCCUAGUGUAGCGGUGAAAUGCGUAGAUAUUAGGAGGAACACCAGUAGCGAAGGCGGCUUUCUGGACUGUAACUGACACUCAUGUGCGAAAGCCAGGGCAGC